AAGAACAUCCAGCCUCUUCUUUCUUCUCUCCCGUCUCAUAGGCUGACUUAUAGCUUUGGUCCCAUGUAUCAGUCGGUAGGGUGGCUUCUGCGUGAGGUAUGUGCUUCGGAUGUUUCUCUCUCUUGUCUCCUUUGAUCUGCUUCAGUGCGUGUUUCAAUGCAGGUAACAGAGCCUCCAUACACUCGGCCACUGCGUUUGGGUUUCCAGGCAUGUUGAUUAUCUGGGGAAACCAAAAACAUGGAAACGUGAGUGAUGAUGGCAACUUAGAUAUUAUACUAAUGUGAAGUUAGAGAUUUGUACCAAUGUUGAGCCUCUAAUUCCUGCCGCAGAGCGCGAGAGCAUCGCAAAUGGAGUGAUCUGUCACAGAGAAAAAAGGAC
rnacentral:lncRNA from 1 species